GACGUAGGGCGCGAGCGUUGUCCGGAUUUAUUGGGCGUAAAGAGCUCGUAGGCGGCUUGUUGCGUCGUCCGUGAAAACCUGUGGCUCAACUACAGGCUUGCGGUCGAUACGGGCGGGCUGGAGUUCGGUAGGGGAGACUGGAAUUCCUGGUGUAGCGGUGAAAUGCGCAGAUAUCAGGAGGAACACCAAUGGCGAAGGCAGCUCGCUGGAACGGUACUGACGCUGAGGCGCGAAAGCGUGGGGAGCGAACAGG
rnacentral:rRNA from 1 species